rnacentral:rRNA from 1 species
GAGUUUGAUCGUGGCUCAGAGUGAACGCUGGCGGUAGGCCUAACACAUGCAAGUCGAACGGUAACAGGUCUUUCGGGAUGCUGACGAGUGGCGGACGGGUGAGGAAUACAUCGGAAUCUGCUCAGUCGUGGGGGAUAACGCAUGGAAACGUGCGCUAAUACCGCAUACGACCUUCGGGUGAAAGCAGGGGAAUCUUUAGGGAUCCUUGCGCGAUUGAAAGAGCCGAUGUCGGAUUAGCUAGUUGGUAGGGUAAAAGCCUACCAAGGCGACGAUCCGUAGCUGGUCUGAGAGGAUGAUCAGCCACACUGGGACUGAGACACGGCCCAGACUCCUGCGGGAGGCAGCAGUGGGGAAUAUUGGACAAUGGGGGCAACCCUGAUCCAGCCAUACCGCGUGGGUGAAGAAGGCCUUCUGGGUUGUAAAGCCCUUUUGUUGGGGAAGAAAAACAACGGGUUAAUACCCCGUUGGUAUGACGGUACCCAAAGAAUAAGCACCGGCUAACUUCGUGCCAGCAGCCGCAGUAAUACGAAGGGUGCAAGCGUUACUCGGAAUUACUGGGCGUAAAGGGUGCGUAGGUGGUUGCGCCAGUCUGUCGUGAAAGCCCUGGGCUUAACCUGGGAAUGGCGAUGGAAACUGUGCAACUAGAGUGUGACAGAGGGUGGUGGAAUUCCUGGUGUAGCAGUGAAAUGCGUAGAGAUCAGGAGGAACAUUCGUGGCGAAGGCGGCCACCUGGGUCAACACUGACACUGAGGCACGAAAGCGUGGGGAGCAAACAGGAUUAGAUACCCUGGUAGUCCACGCCCUAAACGAUGCGAACUGGAUGUUGGGUCCAACUUGGGAUUCAGUAUCGAAGCUAACGCGUUAAGUUCGCCGCCUGGGGAGUACGGUCGCAAGACUGAAACUCAAAGGAAUUGACGGGGGCCCGCACAAGCGGUGGAGUAUGUGGUUUAAUUCGAUGCAAUGCGCAGAACCUUACCUGGCCUUGACAUGCACGGAACCUUUG